rnacentral:rRNA from 1 species
AUUGAACGCUGGCGGCAGGCCUAACACAUGCAAGUCGAGCGGAGCGGCGGACGGGUGAGUACUGCCUAGGAAUCAGCAUGGUAGUGGGGGAUAACGUCCGGAAACGGGCGCUAAUACCGCAUAAUAUCAGAUGAGCCUCGGUCGGAUUAGCGAGUUGGUGGGGUAAAGGCUUAACAAGGCGACGAUCCGUCACUGGUCUGAGAUGAUGAUCAGUCACACUGGAACUUGGACACGGUCCAGACUCCUACGGGAGGCAGCAGUGGGGAAUAUUGGAAAAUGGGAGAAAGCCUGAUCCAGCCAUGCCGCGUGUGUGAAGAAGUUCUUCGGAUUGUAAAUCACUUUAAGUUGGGAGGCGUUACCAACAGAAUAAGCACCGGCUAACUUCGUGCCAGCAGCCGCGGUAAUAC